GAUGAACGUUGGCGGCAUGGAUUAGGCAUGCAAGUCGCGCGCGAAAUGUAGCAAUACAUGGAGAGCGGCGAAAGGGAGAGGAAUACGUGGGAACCUACCUUCGGGCCUGGAAUAGCGGCGGGAAACUGCCGGUAAUGCCAGAUAACGUCUCCGGACCAAAGGUGUGAUUCCGCCGGAAGAUGGGCCCACGUCCUAUCAGCUAGUUGGUGUGGUAAUGGCGCACCAAGGCUAAAACGGGUAUGGGGUGUGAGAGCAUGCCCCCACUCACUGGGACUGGGACACUGCCCAGACACCUACGGGUGGCUGCAGUCGAGAAUCUUCGGCAAUGAGCGCAAGCUUGACCGAGCGAUGCCGCGUGCGGGAUGAAGGCCUUCGGGUUGUAAACCGCUGUCGUAGGGGAAUAAUGGCCAAGGGGUACUCUUCUUGGUUUGAAUGAUCCUAGGAGGAAGGACGGGCUAAGUUCGUGCCAGCCGCCGCAGUAA
rnacentral:rRNA from 1 species